UAUGUGUGUGUGUGUGUGUGCGUGUACAUAUAUAUAUAUAUGUACACGCACACACACACACACACAUAGU
rnacentral:miRNA from 1 species